AUGAAGGCGUCCCUGGGGACUUUCGUCCUGCUCUUGUGGCUGUCGCUGCACUGGCUCAGCCGAGGACAGAAGGUGGAGCAGCAUCCUUCCACCCUGAGUGUCCAGGAGGGAAGCAGCUCUGUUAUCUCCUGUAGUUACUCAGACAGCGCCUCAGUCUACUUCCCUUGGUAUAAGCAAGAACUUGGAAAAGGUCCCCAGCUCAUUAUAGACAUUCGUUCAAAUGUGGCCAGAAAAGAAGAGCAAAGACUCACUGUUUUAUUGAAUAAGACGGCCAAGCAUCUGUCCCUGCACAUCGCAGCCACCCAGCCUGCAGACUCAGCGGUCUACUUCUGUGCAGCAAGUACACAUUGCGUCCCAGACACCUGCCGCCUGUGCUCAAACCUGCCACGGGGCAGCCCCUGUCCUUUGACACAGACCUUCAAGUAGAGCAUUUGUGUUAUUGUUUGUCUGCAGGUGGAAGCUAAUAUGUUAGACAUAAAACCUAACAUAAGGCUCUUGGGCUCAAGAUGACCCAGGCAGGGUCAGAACAUUUUGUUUAAUUCUGCUUAUUAGAUUCUUGAAGGGAGUUAGUAAGGUUUUAUUUUGAAAUUCUUGUUUUAAAGCCAGCUUUACAUUUGCUGUUCAGACUUCUGUCCUACAAACAACUACUUGGUAAACUAUCACAUUUCUAUGUUGGAUUAGCUUUCAACUCUUGUCUUUUCAAUAAUACAGAUGUUAUUUUUGGACUAUUAUAAAACAUUAGAUGCUAAAUAUAGAAAACAUGUAAAAAGCAAAGUGUGAAAUUAAUAAUUGCAUAAAUUAUUAUCAAUGUUUGGUUUACUUUCUCCUUAACUUGUAAUGUAAUGGAUUCUGAUUGUUCCACUCAAUGUUAUAUCCUGAAUUGAGCCUUCUCCUCUAAAAUUUGUUUUUUAAUAGCUCCAUGAGAGAUUUUCAAGAAUCACAGUUGCAUUUAAUUUUCUUCGUUGUCUGUCUUUCUGGCAAUAUUUAACAAUUGUUUCUAUGUGUUUGGAUUAAUUUCUUCUUGAGAAAAUGUGACCUGGAAUUUUCUUGAGAGCUCAGUGAUGGUAUGCGUUUUAUGUGUAUUUGAGGGAAAUUAAAAACAGAGGUGAUUUACUUAAUAAUUGAGCUGAGAGUUAGACUCUUCUCAACUUUAUGUUAGUAUAUGUUCACAUCUACACUCAUAUAAUUUAGAAUGGAAAGUUGUAUCUUU